ACAUUUCUUAUCUUUAUUCUGAAUUUCCAAAACUGAUAUUUGCAUUUGCCAUUUUUCAAUAAUGGAGAAAAACCAACGACAUUAGUUGCCUUACUUUGAAAAGUUUGGCAAAGGACAUAUCAAAACUUUGAUGCUUUUGGUCACAGUUCUGUCCCUGAAAUGCUAACAAUUAGAAAUAUGGAAUGAGUAACCUAACUACUUUAACACAGUGGUUAGAAGUGCUGUAAGUAGUAUCUGUUAAACUCCAAACCACUGUGUUUUAAUUUGUGACAUAUUAGAAUAAUAGACUUUCUGUAGUAUAAAUAUCCUAUUAACUAAUCCUUGUGCUGUUAACUUACAGGUCUUUGAAUCCUGGGUCUGAAGAAAGCACUGACUUCUGUUAAAUUUUGAGCACUGAUACUAGUCAAAGUCUCAUCUUCAGACACAGGAGAAGGUGACAAUCAAAAUGAACUGCUUUCACGAGACACAGGGCCAGAAAUUAAAACUGUUCAAUCCCUGUAGACCCAGGAACUAUUGUGGAAGCUGUGGGUGUGUGAGAUGGAGGAGCAUUAUCCGCUGCUUGGACGGUGAGUGCGUACGUCCGCCCGACUAUCAUUUCCACCCCCGGAGCGAUGGUGAUAAGCCCUGUUGUUUUAUUGAUGAUGAAGUCUCCCUGAGCCCCAACAAGGAUUUCAUAUGUGAUCUCUCCAUUUGACCCUUCGUCUGCGUCGACUGCAGUGAGCUGGAAUUGAAAAUCACAACAUAAAUCCACUUAGGACGCAACUUUUCACCACCAUGUCAUUUAUUCCCCCAACAAAAGGAGCUGGCUUUCAAAGAAAAAAACAGAGGGAAGUUUGCUUGAUAUAUAUACUCUUGUGUGUUUGUGUUUUGUUUUGUUUUGUUUUGUUUUGUUUUAAACUGAGGCUACUGUGUCCUGUUACAAUACUGAAGCAAUCACAAGAAUAAGAGAAUGCUGAAGCAAUCACAAGAAUAAGAGUGAAUUUUUUUUUUUAUCUGUUAGAGUGAUAAGAAAUAAACUUUGGAUCUUGAAGGCU